UAUACUUUGGUGUAGGAUGCACAGAAGUUUUUGAUGCUUUAGGGGCAGUUUAAUUCUGCGAAGUAUAA
rnacentral:tRNA from 1 species